UGUGUAUAGGAUGGGACCACAUGGUUAUGUGACCCUGAUGAAUGCGUAAUGGAGGGAGAGGGGCAACCCUACAACAGAAAGGUUGUGCUGAGCAGAUAAAACAGUAGACACUGAACAAAAAUUAUAGACUUCUUUCCUCUAAGGAGUUUACUUAUAAUAAUUUUAUCCUUUUCUCUCUAGUUUUGAAUUUAGGAAGGGCAAGGCCAUCUUGACCCAGAAAAGCCCUUUAUGCAUUUACCUGAAAGAGGAUCACUUCCAUCUUAUCCUACAAUCAGGCAGCAAGUAUUUACUGAGUAAUGAUUGCCUCCCAGCAGCAUGCAGAUGAAGGGGAAUGGAGGCACAACUGAACUCACUUUCCUGAUGCUUUUUCCUGUCAAGAAGCAGAAUUUGAAUGGGCCUAAGGUAUUGGUCUUGCUGACCU
rnacentral:lncRNA from 1 species